GCGUGCUUAACACAUGCAAGUCGAACGGGAUCCAUCGGGCUUUGCUUGGUGGUGAGAGUGGCGAACGGGUGAGUAAUGCGUGACCGACCUGCCCCAUACACCGGAAUAGCUCCUGGAAACGGGUGGUAAUGCCGGAUGUUCCAGUUGAUCGCAUGGUCUUCUGGGAAAGCUUUCGCGGUAUGGGAUGGGGUCGCGUCCUAUCAGCUUGACGGCGGGGUAACGGCCCACCGUGGCUUCGACGGGUAGCCGGCCUGAGAGGGCGACCGGCCACAUUGGGACUGAGAUACGGCCCAGACUCCUACGGGAGGCAGCAGUGGGGAAUAUUGCACAAUGGGCGCARGCCUGAUGCAGCGACGCCGCGUGAGGGAUGGAGGCCUUCGGGUUGUAAACCUCUUUUAUCGGGGAGCAAGCGAGAGUGAGUUUACCCGUUGAAUAAGCACCGGCUAACUACGUGCCAGCAGCCGCGGUAAUACGUAGGGUGCARGCGUUAUCCGGAAUUAUUGGGCGUAAAGGGCUCGUAGGCGGUUCGUCGCGUCCGGUGUGAAAGUCCAUCGCUUAACGGUGGAUCCGCGCCGGGUACGGGCGGSCUUGAGUGCGGUAGGGGAGACUGGAAUUCCCGGUGUAACGGUGGAAUGUGUAGAUAUCGGGAAGAACACCAAUGGCGAAGGCAGGUCUCUGGGCCGUUACUGACGCUGAGGAGCGAAAGCGUGGGGAGCGAACAGGAUUAGAUACCCUGGUAGUCC
rnacentral:rRNA from 1 species